GCUGGCGUAGCUCAGUUGGUAGAGCGUCUGAUUUGUAAUCAGAGGGUCACGGGUUCGAUUCCUGUCGCCAGCACCA
rnacentral:tRNA from 1 species